rnacentral:rRNA from 1 species
GAUGAACGCUGGCGGCGUGCCUAAUACAUGCAAGUCGAGCGAACGGACGAGAAGCUUGCUUCUCUGAUGUUAGCGGCGGACGGGUGAGUAACACGUGUAUAACCUACCUAUCAGACUGGGAUAACUUCGGGAAACCGGAGCUAAUAGCGGAUAAUAUCUUGAACCGCAUGGUUCAAUAGUGAAAGACGGUGUUGCUGUCACGUAUAGAUGGAUCUGCGCUGCAUUAGAUAGUUGGUAGGGUAACGGCUUACCAAGGCAACGAUGCAUAGCCGACGUGAGAGGGUGAUCGGCCACACUGGAACUGGGACAGGGUCCAGACUCCUACGGGAGGCAGCAGUAGGGAAUCUGACGCAAUGGGCGAAAGCCUGACGGAGCAACGCCGCGUGAGUGAUGAAGGUCUUCGGAUCGUAAAACUCUGUUAUUAGGGAAGAACAUAUGUGUAAGUAACUGUGCACAUAUUGACGGUACCUAAUCAGAAAGCCACGGCUAACUACGUG